CAGUCGAGCGGACAGAUGGGAGCUUGCUCCCUGAUGUUAGCGGCGGACGGGUGAGUAACACGUGGGUAACCUGCCUGUAAGACUGGGAUAACUCCGGGAAACCGGGGCUAAUACCGGAUGCUUGUUUGAACCGCAUGGUUCAAACAUAAAAGGUGGCUUCGGCUACCACUUACAGAUGGACCCGCGGCGCAUUAGCUAGUUGGUGAGGUAAUGGCUCACCAAGGCGACGAUGCGUAGCCGACCUGAGAGGGUGAUCGGCCACACUGGGACUGAGACACGGCCCAGACUCCUACGGGAGGCAGCAGUAGGGAAUCUUCCGCAAUGGACGAAAGUCUGACGGAGCAACGCCGCGUGAGUGAUGAAGGUUUUCGGAUCGUAAAGCUCUGUUGUUAGGGAAGAACAAGUACCGUUCGAAUAGGGCGGUACCUUGACGGUACCUAACCAGAAAGCCACGGCUAACUACGUGCCAGCAGCCGCGGUAAUACGUAGGUGGCAAGCGUUGUCCGGAAUUAUUGGGCGUAAAGGGCUCGCAGGCGGUUUCUUAAGUCUGAUGUGAAAGCCCCCGGCUCAACCGGGGAGGGUCAUUGGAAACUGGGGAACUUGAGUGCAGAAAAGGAGAGUGGAAUUCCACGUGUAGCGGUGAAAUGCGUAGAGAUGUGGAGGAACACCAGUGGCGAACGCGACUCUCUGGUCUGUAACUGACGCUGAGGAGCGAAAGCGUGCGGAGCAAACACGAUCACAUACGCUGGUACUCCACGCCGUAACCGAUGACCGCUAGUCGCGAGGAGGUCCCCGCCCCUCAGCGGCGCAGCUAAUCCCCUAAUUACUAUGACCGGGCAGAAACUCAAAGGAAUUGACGGGGGCCCGCACAAGCGGUGGAGCAUGUGGUUUAAUUC
rnacentral:rRNA from 2 species